rnacentral:rRNA from 1 species
UACGUAAGGAGCGAGCGUUGUCCGGAUUCAUUGGGCGUAAAGAGCUCGUAGGCGGCUUGAUUAGUCGGAUGUGAAACCUCCAGGCUCAACCUGGAGUCGCCAUCCGAUACUGUCAUGGCUAGAGUCCGGUAGGGGCCCACGGAAUUCCUGGUGUAGCGGUGAAAUGCGCAGAUAUCAGGAGGAACGACCGGUGGGCGGAAGGCGGUGGGCUGGGCCGGCACUGACGCUGGAGGAGCGAAAGCGUGGGGAGCGAACAGG